UACGGAGGGUGCAAGCGUUAAUCGGAAUUACUGGGCGUAAAGGGCGCGUAGGCGGUUCGCUAAGUUGAAUGUGAAAACUCUGGGCUUAACCCAGAGCCUGCAUUCAAUACUGGCGGGCUAGAGUUCUGGAGGGGAUAGCGGAAUUCCUGGUGUAGCGGUGAAAUGCGUAGAUAUCAGGAGGAACACCGGUGGCGAAGGCGGCUAUCUGGACAGAGUCUGACGCUGAGGCGCGAAAGCUAGGGGAGCAAAGCAGG
rnacentral:rRNA from 1 species